rnacentral:tRNA from 1 species
UCCCUGCUAGCUCAGAUGGUAAAGAAUCUGCCUGCAAUGCAGAAGACCCAAGUGCAAUCUCUGGGUAGGGAA